GGGAGUGUACAGCUCAUGGUAGAGCACAUGCUUAGCAUGCACGAGGUCCUUGGUUCAACCCCCAGCACCGCCA
rnacentral:tRNA from 1 species